rnacentral:rRNA from 1 species
UACGGAGGAUGCAAGCGUUAUCCGGAAUUAUUGGGCGUAAAGCGUCCGCAGGUGGUUAAACAAGUCUGCUGUCAAAGCGCGGAGCUUAACUCCGUACAGGCGGUGGAAACUGUUGAACUGGAGUACGGUAGGGGUAGCGGGAAUUCCCAGUGUAGCGGUGAAAUGCGUAGAUAUUGGGAAGAACACCAGCGGCGAAAGCGCGCUACUGGGCCUGUACUGACACUGAGGGACGAAAGCUAGGGGAGCGAAAGGG